rfam:Tursiops truncatus cont1.156569, whole genome shotgun sequence.
GCCGACGAGCCCGGGGGGCCUCGUGUGUACCGGGAAGGGGCGGGGCUAGUGUCGCCUUGACAACCAUUAGGCCUCCUCCGCCUGGGCGGCGCGGCGACUACAUUUCCCAGAGGGCCUCGCGUGGCGCGGCUUGGGGGGCGGGGAGGAAGCGCCUCGGGCCCAGUGCGCAGGCGUGAGUCCCCUCUGGUUAUAUAAGGGAGGC